rnacentral:lncRNA from 1 species
CCUGUUCCCUGACAUGUGGUUGUCAGGGAACAGUUAUUUAACAAAUGACUUCCCAGCCGUUGGAUCGAUGAUCCAACGGCUGGGACAAAAGAUUGCUUUUUUUUGUAUCCGCGCUUAAAAACCGCGGACACUCUGCGUAUCCGCGUUUUUUUCCGCGGACACAUACCCUUUCCGCGGUAAAUAACCGCGGACAUUACAGUGAGUUUUAAAACGCGCAAACGAACGUAUAUAUCAGUGACGGUUACAUAUUCAAACAUAAACACAACACAAACUCUAUAUACACUCACCCUCUCGCACUCUCAUCCUCUCACAACUGCCACCAAGCGAUACUACAAUCCAAUCAAGCUUCAAACGAACGUAUAAAGGUGCGUGUAUAUAUAUCCUCCCGUGUAUAUACAUUGUUUUUUUUUCGAAUUCUAUGUAUGUAUUGCAAUCGAUAAAUUUUAUAGUUUUGAUUGGAUUGGGAUGUUGUGAUUGUAUGUAUGUAAUCAAUUAUGUGUAAUUGAUUGUUGGUUAGUAUUAAUUUGAUAAAUGGAUUGUUAUGGAUGAUGUGUUAUUCGUAGUAUGCUAAGUGUUCGUGAAAAUGCCUCAAAGGAAAUUUUAGUUAGAAUUGUUUGUUUUUAGUGCUAAUUGUUGUUGGAUAUUGAUAGUAUGCUAAGUGUACUUGAUAGUAAAUUAUUGUUGGUUUGUGGUUUAUUGAUUGUUGGAUUGGAAUUUGUUAAGUGUAAUUGAUAGUAUUUUAAGUGUAAUUCAUGGUAUUUGUUAAGUGUAAUUGAUGGUAUGUUAAGUUUAUAGAUUGUAAAUUGUGAAUUCAUGGUAUGCUUCGGUUAGUAUGCUAAGUUUAUUGAUUGUUGGAUUGGUAUUUGUGUUUCAGGAUGGAUGAUAUUUUGCCGGGUCCUGUUAGUGGAGCAGUUAUCGUGGAUAACUCAUACCAUGUGAGUUCAGAUGUUUGGAAUGGAGUCGAG